CCCACUCUCACUGGAUUCGGCUUCUCUGCUAGAAAAGAAGUUGCUAAGAUCUGCUUGGAUAUCAUUGUGAGCUCGCCACGUCAGCCUAACUCGAUCUAAUGGCUAUUAAAUUGACACCAGAAAAAGCCAUAAACCUCACAAACGUCGACGUUAGUACGUUAACGUCAACACUGAAUCUCCAGAUCUGGCUCGUCUCCUCGCAUCUGUCUCUCUCUCUUCGCCCAAUUUCCUCCUUCCCCUCACCAUCUAGUCGUGAACUGAAUCGAACAAGAUCAUGGUGGAAGUCGUCGGAGCUGAAGAAGCCGGUGUCAUGGUCAUGGUGGAAGUACUGCUUGACGGGAACCGGAACAGGAACGUAAUCGUAGACUUGGGCUUGUAUUUCAAUUUAAUUGAUUUGGGUGUAUUCCAAUUUAUUGGAUUUGGGCGUGUUUUGUUGGGAGGUUGUAGGAAUGAAUUCUAAAUUGUUUUGUUGAUGCAGUAGAUCGAAUUUCAAGAUUUUAUUCAUGGAGCUGAGCUGAUAGCUUCAAAUGAUACACUUCUGUUUGAUAGAAUGUGUGUGCAAAAUCUUAAUCUCGAAUUCUGUCUUUUGUAGGGAGGAGGUUUUCCAAGUUGGUUGGAAUCCGAAGAAUGAGACUAUCUUAGCUUCUUGUUGUCUUGGCAGGAGACUGAUGGUGUGGGAUCUUAGCAGGUUAAUCAUGCUCAUGUUGUCAAUGACAAUUUGUACAAGAAGCCAUGUUGUUGUAGGACUCGCUUUGAUCUCUACAAUGAAAGAUCCCGUGAAGGAAUGAAAAUUAGAGCACAACAUGUUGGUUAGGAUAUGGAAGUGGAGCUGAUGAUGUUAACAAAUAGUCUCUUUUUCUUUGUUGAAGGCUGUUGGGUUUUGGUGAAGGUGUAAACUUUUACUUUUGGCCAUGACUCCAAUUUGGAGUGAAUUGAUAUGAAAAGUUUCCAUGACUCCAAACUGUAGAAGAAGACACCAAGCUGUAGAAAGCAACGAUUCUGUGAUAUCCUUCACCACAGAUGGCAAAAAGAAGAAGAAACUAAACUCUAAGUUCAAAUAGCAUCAAAGACCAAUCAUUCAUCACCACAAUAUGAGUCUUUCCCAUCAUCUGGAAAAUCUUGAGAGUUAAGUAAUGCUUGGAAUAAAUUGGAAUACACCCAAAUCAAUUAAAUUGAAAUACACGCCCAAGUCUACGAUUACGUUCCUGUUCCGGUUCCCGUCGAGCAGUACUUCCACCAUGACCAUGACACCGGCUUCUUCAGCUCCGACGACUUCCACCAUGAUCUUGUUCGAUUCAGUUCACGACUAGAUGGUGAGGCGAAGGAGGAAAUUGGGCGAAGAGAGAGAGACAGAUGCGAGGAGACGAGCCAGAUCUGGAGAUUCAGUGUUGACGUAAACGUACUAACGUCGACGUUUGUGAGGUUUAUGGCUUUUUCUGGUGUCAAUUUAAUAGCCAUUAGAUCGAGUUAGGCUGACGUGGCGAGCUCACAAUGAUAUCCAAGCAGAUCUUAGCAACUUCUUUUCUAGCAGAGAAGCCGACUCAAAUCUGGAGAAGGCUAUCAGCCAUGUCCAGCUCUACCACAGUCGACGGCGUCGCAGCUACCGCGCUCCGCUCAAUUUUCUACCCCGUCCAUCUAAGCUGAAAAAUCCAGUCGUCGCGCCGACGAGAUCCGAGUGGUGGCAGUGAGCAAGACGAAUCUGGCCGUUGUCCUCUACCAAGUAUAUGACGCCGGCCACCGCUACUUCGGCGAGAACUACGUCCAUGGAAUCGUCGAGAAAGCUCCUCAAGUUUCUGCUCUGAGCAAGAUAAUUGAAAUAGGAUAUCAGAGUUGAUUAAUUGAGUGGAUCAAGGAUUGAGUGGAUAUCAGUCGUAAAUCUACAUGAUAACACACAUUGGAGUAUGUGGGGUGGCACCAGAAUGCUGCAACAGCGAACAAAUUCUAGAUCAGCAUUUUAGAAGCUUCAGAUCUAACCUCUCCCUUAAUAAAGCCUCUAGUCGUUGAUGAGAUUAGAAUUAGCUAGGUUUAGAUAAUAUUCUUUUCAAUAAACCUAUAACCUAACAUUUGCGGGUUGUUGUGAUUAAUUGUAAGAACUUUAUUGUCAUUCUUCCUCAUGUACCUUCAGAGCCAUAUUUGACUAAAGAGCUUACUACAAGUGUUACAAUGAUGGAGAUAUUUUGUUACUUACGAGAGGAGUACUUUGUUUCUGGUUCUA